rnacentral:rRNA from 1 species
GAACGCUAGCGGCAGGCUUAACACAUGCAAGUCGAGGGGCAGCAUGACGAAACUUCGGGUUUGUUGAUGGCGACCGGCGCAAGGGUGCGUAACGCGUGAGCAACUUGCCCUUAUCGAGGGGGAUAACCGGUGGAAACGCCGACUAAUACCCCAUAGUAUUGGCUUUAGGCAUCUUUAGUCAAUUAAAGAAUUUCGGAUAAGGAUAGGCUCGCGUGACAUUAGCUAGAUGGCGGGGUAACGGCCCACCAUGGCAACGAUGUCUAGGGGUUCUGAGAGGAAGGUCCCCCACACUGGAACUGAGACACGGUCCAGACUCCUACGGGAGGCAGCAGUGAGGAAUAUUGGUCAAUGGUCAGACGACUGAACCAGCCAUGCCGCGUGAAGGUGACGGCCCUAUGGGUCUUAAACUUCUUUUGCAAGGGAGCAAUAAGAGCUACGUGUAGCUUGAUGAGAGUACCUUGCGAAUAAGCAUCGGCUAACUCCGUG